AUUAAAUAAAAUUGAAACUGUUGGAGGAUUCUCCCAUCAUAAUUACUUUUACUUAGUUAGCAUAACUACGUGCUUGUAGGUAUUGUGGCUAUAAAUGAGGAAUGUCAUCCUUAUUUUCCUCCCUUUUCUCAAUGUAAGAUUUACAAUGUCACUGAAAGAAAUAUAUAUAUAUCCUAGGUUUAUGUUCUGUUUCAAUUAUGAAUAUUUUGUCUUAAUUUGGUGUUUAAGAAUUGCUCAA
rnacentral:misc_RNA from 1 species